UGUUGUCAACAUCGCUAAUUGCGUGGAGGUCACUGGGGAUGUUUUCACCCAAAACUACAGUAAGAAGUGGUACAAAAUAAAAGGCAGAAUAAUAAAGGAGAAAACAACUAGUGUGUCAGACGAAGAGCACAGUGUAAUCAGAAAACUAACACCAAAGCAGCUGUUUGGACUGAAGUGGAAAGGGGAAGAGAAACAGCGUGGAGCAGCCGGUUCUUACUAUGUGAUGACAAUACUGAAGACUUGAUGCAAGGUAAGCUGAUGGCAGAGGCUGCUGAAAUUGAUUUGAGACGAUUUAAGUAUUAG